UGGGUACACAGCAAAAUCACCAGUGUUAAAUUUUCAGGGAUGGUGUUAAAUACACAGUGUUGAUGCUGUUUUAACACUAUCUGGUAAUAAAAUAACACUGCCAUUGCUAGGCCAGUGUUAUAUUCACGACAGUGUCAGUGUAAAACAAGGGUGUUAUCAGAUUUCACUCUGAGCGGUGUAAAUCAAGCCACGCCUCCACUAAACAUAUCCUGUCAGGGAUUUUACCGCCAUUUUCUUUCACAGGAGGACUGAAGAGAUCAGGUAAAUCAGUCUCAUAAUAUUCACAUGGUUUAGCUAAAUUAAACUGUUAUUUCUCUGUCUGACUCUACGCAGCCAUAUGCCAAAAAACCUAAAUAAGAUAUUUUUCCCAUUUUAUUUCCCCUUUGUUCGUUAUUUGGUUCAGUUUAAUCAGAGUUACCUUGUGUUAUGUUGUUCCCUUGUUAGUUUAGUAUAAAGUUAAACUGCUAGCUAAAAGUUUAAAACCAAGAAGGAUAAUAUUAACAGGAGAUAUGAACGAAAGAAUUGAACCACGAUAAAACGCGACAUGCACUACAAAUUGAAGGUAUGAAAUUAAGUUAAAUGAAAGCUCGUUUAUUCACCAUAUGAUGCUCGUUAUAAGGUAAUCAUAUAGGCUAGAUACCGUGAGUUAACGAGGUCGUUUACAUGCACGUGAGUGCACGGAUAUCGGUUAAUUAUUCAAAUUACUGAAAAACACGGAGAAAACCGCAACCGCAUCGUCAUGUGUUUUUCUAAGAUGUAUGCAAACAGGGGAAAUAUCGCCAAACCAACAAUUAAUUUGACCAAAACCUCACAAUAUAUCAUCAUUUGUAUGCACAGAUUGGAUGCAUUGUGUGUUGUAUGCUUUUCGUGGCGCUAGAUGUCAGACAGAUGCAAAUGGCAAAUACAUACGAAAGUGUAAAACGUGUAUGGCGAACAUUUGUUUUUUUCUGUCAUUAUAGAUGCUAGUUUGGUGAAAGUUCACACUGAGUGCUUCAAAUCAUUCAGAAGAGAUGCUGUUUUUAGGGCAGUUUAUUAAAGAAGACCUGACAUGGAUGACUUCCAAUGAGAAACGACUGCUAAUACUUAUAUAAAUUCAUUACAGAAGGACCCUACCAGACUAUAUUUGAAUACGGCAUUCCCAUGAAUUCUGGAACUGUUAUUCCUUAACCUAGUUUUAAAGGAUAAGAGCUUACCAACUAGUUAUAAAUAUGCUGAGGUGAUGUAUUGCAAAAUAGCCAACAUACAACAAUAUGGAUGACCCUCUGUCUGGUCAACAGGAGUUUAAAUAUGGACGGGACAGUGAUGUGGCAGCUCUUCCCUGGCCCAUUCACCUCUUGCCUUCAUUUGUGAAAGGAAGAAAGACUGGAGAGGGUCAAUGUGCAACUGAAGCUACUGAUUGUGCUGUGUGAUGAGCAUCAAUCCAUGCUUUGAGGGGAAUGAAUCAGCACAGCCCUGCCUGCACUGCGUUGGGAACAGAAGUUGCAUCCAGAAUUUUUGCAUCAUUCUGGACCAAAAAGCCAUUCCCUCCAUGAUGAAGACCACUGAUGCAGCCUUCCACUACAUCAUGAGUAAAACAACUACAGAACUAAAUACCAGGUUGGAACGUAUUUAAGAAAAAUGAACCGUCUUUUGAAUUGAAAUGUCUGUUUUGUUAUGGAAAAAUCUUUAGUAUUGUGAAGGAUAAGCAUUUCUGCUUGCCAGUAAGGUAAUUGCAGUGUAUUUUAAUGUUCAAGUUUUGAGUAGGGUGGCUAAUUUUUUUUAAACUCUCAUUUGAUAUAUUAAAGACCUUAUAAUUGGUGGUUUU